UUUUUGGCUAUUAUCAUCUUAUAUCAGAACUUCCUUUCUGUCUUACUCCAUAAGAACAGACAUAAUAACUCU